UCUAAGCAGGCCAGCCCCAGCCAAAGCCAUUGUGGAAACUCAGUUUCAUCCUCUCGUUCCAUUAUUAAUUACGCUUCUUCCUUCAUCGAUGGGCAGAGGAAAGGGAUGGAUGGGUGGAUAUUAAGAUGAUGAAACAGGUUCAAACCUACCAGGAAAGAAGAGGUUGCUUCUCCAAUAAUUCUCCAGUUUGAUCAGCUUGCUGUCGAUCCCAUGGAAAACACGAAUUUUA